CAUUUUCCCUAUCUACUCAACUUAUUUCCUUGAAAUAUCUAGUUUUCUGUUUUUGUGUUUCAUUAGAAAAUUAACAAAUUCAGAAAACUUGUAAAUAGUUUGCUGGAAAACUUUUUCUUUUCUAUGAAAUGUCUGUUCAAAUCUAACAAACAAAUAAUAUGAAAUGAAGUUGUUUCCCUCUCCUUCCCCUUUACAUCCCACUAUGGAUCAUACUAUUUCUCAACAAUACCUUGUAGAGCGCCUUCAUUUGAAAUCAAGUCACGGAUGCUAUGAUAUAUUUUAUCGUAUGGUAACAGUUCAUCUAUCAGCAAAUUACUGAAGCAGAACCAAAGGAGCCUGCAAUGUUUUACACAACAAAGACCAUAAAGCAUCAAAACAAAUAAAUUCUGAGUACAAGCUCUGGACAAGCCCCAGGUAGAUGCCUUCACAAGGACUUCAGCGCAAAGAAGGGGAACCCAUAUUCUGUCAUCAUUGAUGGACUAUGGUCGGCUUGUAGUCGACAACGAGAACCCUCUCUAGUGCAGGCGAACUCCUUUGUAAAUUCUACAUGGGCCGGGUGU
rnacentral:lncRNA from 1 species